rfam:Gossypium raimondii Chr12_contig_834, whole genome shotgun sequence.
CCCGCUGAGUUUAAGCAUAUCAAUAAGUGGAGGAAAAGAAACUUACCAGGAUUCCCCUAGUAAUAGCGAGCGAACCGGGAAAAGCCCAGCUUUAGAAUCGGUCGCCAUCGGCAUCUGAAUUGUAGUCUGGAAAAGCGUCCUCAGCGGUGGACCGGGCCCAAGUCCCCUGGAAAGGGGCGCCGGAGAGGGUGAGAGCCCCGUCGUGCCUGGACCCUGUCGCACCAAGAGGCGCUAUCUACGAGUCAGGUUGUUUGGGAAUGCAGCCCUAAUCGGGCGGUAAAUUCCGUCCAAGGCUAAAUACGGGCGAGAGACCGAUAGCGAACAAGUACCGUGAGGGAAAGAUGAAAAGGACUUUGAAAAGAGAAUCAAAGAGUGCUUGAAAUUGUCGGGAGCGAAGCGGAUGGGGGCCGGUGAUAUGCCCCGGUCGGAUAUGGAACGGCGAGAGCCGGUCCACCGAUCGGCUCGAGCCGUGGACCGACGCGGGUCGUGGCGGCGGCCCAAGUCCAGACAUUCGAUACGCCUGUGGAGACGUCGUCGCCAGGAUCGUGGGACUCAGUACGCGCCGUCUCGGCGUGCUUCGGUACCUGCGUGCUCUGGACGUCGGCCUGCGGGCUCCCCAUUCGGCCCGUCUUGAAACACGG